AUGUCAUAUGAAAGGAGAGAACAUUAGCACUCACCUUGAUAAGUAUGGAGGAGAUUCCAGUGGCCUUUACAACACAGAUAGGGUGAAGGCAGUGACACCUACUCUGUGCAUCCAACCAUGUUGUUUU